rnacentral:rRNA from 1 species
UACGAAGGGGGCUAGCGUUGCUCGGAAUCACUGGGCGUAAAGGGUGCGUAGGCGGGUCUUUAAGUCAGGGGUGAAAUCCUGGAGCUCAACUCCAGAACUGCCUUUGAUACUGAGGAUCUUGAGUUCGGGAGAGGUGAGUGGAACUGCGAGUGUAGAGGUGAAAUUCGUAGAUAUUCGCAAGAACACUAGUGGCGAAGGCGGCUCACUGGCCCGGUACUGACGCUGGAGGUGCGAA